UACGGAGGGGGCUAGCGUUGUUCGGAAUUACUGGGCGUAAAGCGCGCGUAGGCGGACCUGCAAGUCGGGGGUGAAAGCCCGAGGCUCAACCUCGGAACUGCCUUCGAUACUGCGGGUCUCGAGUCCGGGAGAGGUGAGUGGAAUUCCUAGUGUAGAGGUGAAAUUCGUAGAUAUUAGGAAGAACACCCGUGGCGAAGGCGGCCCGCUGGGCAGUGGCUGACGCUGAGGGACGAAAGCUAGGGGAGCGAAUGGG
rnacentral:rRNA from 1 species